rnacentral:rRNA from 1 species
GAUGAACGCUGGCGGCGUGCUUAACACAUGCAAGUCGAACGGAUUUAACAGAAAGCUUGCUUUCGGUUAAAUUAGUGGCGGACGGGUGAGUAACGCGUGGAUAACCUGCCGUAUACAGGGGGAUAACACUUAGAAAUAGGUGCUAAUACCGCAUAAGCGCACAGUUUCGCAUGAGACAGUGUGAAAAACUCCGGUGGUAUACGAUGGAUCCGCGUCUGAUUAGGUAGUUGGUGGGGUAACGGCCCACCAAGCCGACGAUCAGUAGCCGGCCUGAGAGGGCGAACGGCCACAUUGGGACUGAGACACGGCCCAAACUCCUACGGGAGGCAGCAGUGGGGAAUAUUGCACAAUGGGGGAAACCCUGAUGCAGCGACGCCGCGUGAGUGAAGAAGUAUUUCGGUACGUAAAGCUCUAUCAGCAAGGAAGAAUACCGACCUUUGGUCGCUAGACGGUACUUGACUAAGAAGCCCCGGCUAACUACGUG